CAAAACAGCAGCAGGAGAAGCAGCAUUAGCGGAGCCUUACUCAACCCUGCGAGAAAAAAGCUCGAUGACAAAACUCCGAUCUUAUUACCGCUCCUCCUAACCUGCAUGUCUUGAAAGAUGAAGCACUAGUGAAUUUAUCCCAAUUCGUUCUGGAAGACUUUGUGCGUUUUAUGGGAAUUAAAAACAAAGGCCCGUGUUUGGAGUGAUGAGCUUUAGCCUGUUAGCCCGACAGCUUCAACCUCCAGCUGACAGAAACCUCCACAUCUCAGCCAAAAACAACCUAUUAAUCUGCUUGCAUGCAGAGAAUGGACUGAAGACAGCUCAGAGAGCCAUAAUUGACUAGAUGAACAAAUCAAGCUGGAGGCAGGCUCAGCGGAGAAUUCAACAUGAAGUUGUAUGUGUUUCAAGUCAACAACGGAAGCACAUUGACAUUUGACACUGAACUUGCUGUCCAAACUGUUUUGGACCUUAAACAUGCCAUUCAGGCCAAAUAUAAAAUUGCAGUCCAGCACCAGGUGCUGGUGGUCAAUGGAGGGGAGUGUAUGGUGGCAGAGAGGCGCGUGUGCAGCUACAGUGCCGGAACGGACACCAACCCGAUCUUCUUAUUCAACAAAGAGAUGAUCCUGUCUGACCGAGCUCCAACCAUCCCCAAAACGACCUUCUCCAUAGAGAAUGAGAUGGAGCUGAAGGUGGAGGAGUCACUCAUGAUGCCUGCCGUCUUUCACACCGUCGCUUCCCGCACUCAACUGGCUGUGGAAAUGUUUGAGGUUGCCAAGAAGCUUUGCUUGUUCUGUGAGCGUCUGGUCCAUGAUGAACACCUUCAGCACCAGGGAUGGGCGGCCAUCAUGGCUAACCUGGACGAUUGCACCCUAUCCUAUCAAAAACUCCUCAUGAAAUUCGACACUGCUUAUACAAAUUACCAACAGGAUUUUGAAGACAUCAAAUUAAAACUCACAAAGCUUGGCACUGCUGUCUCAGUCAUGGCGAAGAUUCCACUGCUUGAGUGUUUGACUCGGCAGAGCUACAGAGAAAGCUUGGAGAAGUCCAGCUCCCCUCACCCGAGAACCACAGAUGAAGACGAGAAUGAGGAUGAAGUAGGAGAAACAUCCACCCAGUCCGCUAUCCUCUGUCCCGCUGACAGCCAUAAGAAUCGGAAGUCACCCUCGCCGGUCUCUGCUUCAGGGGAAGCGUCGUCCCAGGCGUCCUUCUCUCCUCAGGACAGACUGAAGAGCAGCUGUAGUCUAAAAGCAGCUCUAGAGGAAGAGGAGGAGUCUCCGGAGAGGGGAGCCACACCCUCUUUCAAUGUCACGCUCUUGGAUUGGAUCAACGUUCAGGACAGACCUAACGAUGUGGAGUCAGUAGUGAGGAAGUGUUUUGACUCAAUCAACAGGCUCGACCCACGAAUUAUCCAACCCUUUCUAUCUGAAUGCCGCGAGACGAUUACCAAAUUGGAUAAUCAGAACAUGAAGGCCAUCAAAGGACUUGAAGACCGAUUGUAUGCUCUUGACCAAAUGAUAGCAAGCUGUAAACGGUUGGUCAAUGAACAGCAGGAACUUGCUCAGGGAUUUCUUGCCAAUCAGAAGAGGGCUGAAAACCUGAAGGACACCUCGGUGCUGCCUGACCUGUGUCUGAGUCACGCCAACCAGCUGAUGAUCAUGCUGACCAAUCACAGGAAACUACUAGACAUCAAGCAGAAGUGUACCACUGCCAAACAGGAGCUCGCCAACAACCUUCAAGUUCGUCUCAAAUGGUGCUGCUACGUGAUGCUUCACGCUGAUCAGGAUGGAGAGAAGCUGCAGGCUCUCCUGAGGCUGCUGACGGAGCUGCUGGAGCGCGUGCGGGUGGUGGAGGCGCUCAGCACUGUGCCACAGAUGUACUGUCUCGCCGUAGUGGAGGUGGUCAGACGCAAAAUGUUUAUAGGACACUACAGACAAUGGGCCAAUGCUCUUGUGAAAGAUGGGAAAAACCUCUAUGAGGCAGAAAAAGUAAAAAGGGAAUGCUUUGGGAAGCUCUUCAGGAAAUCGUUCCUCAGAAACCGGUUGUUUCGAGGACUGGACUCAUGGCCACCCUCUUCGUUUUGCACCCGAAAGCCUCGAAAGUUUGACUUUGAGCUUCCAUAUAUUUCCCUGAGUGACCUGCAGUAUCUCAAGUCCUGUUGUCCUUUCGAGGUUCAGCCUUACCUCAGGGUCCCAACACUAUGUGACUUUGAGCCUCUUAACCAGAGUAUUGCGGUUCUUCAUCAGCUGGUUCAGGCUGCGCAGAGUGUGGACGAGAUGUCACAAACUAUCACAGACCUACUAAAUGAACAAAAGUUUUCCUGUAGCCAGAGUGCUCAAAGAUUCACCGCAUUAACACCCAGAUCUAAAAGCACAACUGAAAUCACCUCUACCUCCACCAAAACUUUGUCCACUCUCAGUUUAAAAGCACCGGACUGCCAACCCCUGGCGCUUCCUGGUCACUUGGAGGACCUAUCACCUGACAGCAUAGAUGCCCAGACUUUUGACUUUGAAACCAUUGGGCAUCCCAAUAUGGAUCCUGUAUUACAGCAAGGCUCGUUGGACUUGGACUCGUUGGCAGAAAGUCCUGAGUCGGAUUUCAUGUCAGCAGUUAAUGAGUUUGUUAUUGAGGAGAACUUGAUGUCACCUAAUCCCAUAAGUGAUCCCACAAGCCCAGAGAUGAUGGUGGAGUCUCUUUACUCCUCUGUCAUUAAUGCAAUCGAUAGCAAGCGUAUACAGGACACUACUACACUUGAGAAGGAAAAUUCAAAGAUUGCAGUACUCAAGCUGUCAGCAGACAGGUACCGUUCUGCUGCGGAAGAGUCCCAGAACAAUUUGAGGAAAGUUAAAGAAGACAUUUAUCACUUUCGAGGUCUUGUUCUGAAAGAGCAAAGAGACUUUGGAUUCACCCUGAAAACAAUGACCAUUGAGGUCCGAAACGCUCUCAACAGUGUCAGAUACUGUCACGAGGAGGAGCUGAGAGAAACGCAACAAACCGAUCUCCAGAGUUUGAAGGACGAUCAUGAAAAGCAGAUACAAACUCUCACGGAAGAGCUUGAAGGCAAUCGGAAGAUUGUUCGAGACGUCCAGAGAGCAAUGCUAGAAUUGGAGGGGCUCGUGGAGCGCAAGGAGAAGGAAAUAUCCCAGCUGGAGAGUGUGAGGGAACGCUCUAUGCAAGAACUUCAAGAUCUUCACAAGCAAACUGUGCAGGACCUUGAGGAGAAGAUCUUGAAGCAAAGUGAAGAACUGAAAGCUACAUUGCUGUCCAAGGACGAACUCGCUGGGCAGCUGGAGAACCUUCACUUUGAGAUCGAGCACGGCCAACAGAAAAUCAGACAGGAGAUGGAGAAGGCAGAGAAGGUGCACCUUCAGGAACUGGAGGCACGGUUGAAACAACAACAUGAAGCAGAGCUGGAAUCUCUCAGAUUGGAAAAAGAAAGUGCACUUGACAAACUUGUCCAGGAGAACCUGUUGAAGCUAAGAGAUCUGGUGGAUUCCCAUUCUGCUGAACUCAAGGAACGUGAGGGACGCUUGAAAGACUUGGAGGCUCACAUCACAGAACUUGCAGAUGCCCGCUGCAAACUGGAAGUGGAGAUGGCUCUUAAAGAGGCCGAAAUGGAGGACAUGGGACUCCAGUACGAGGAGGCCAAAAGUACCCAAGAGGAGGUGUUGAGAGCGGAGCUUGCUACCCAAACAGCCACCUUGCAAUCGCAGAUCGACAUGUUGAACCAGCAGCUCCAGCAGAAGAACGAAGACUACGAGGUGGGCCUGGCCGAGCUCCGAGCGCUCAUGAGGUUGGAGAAGGACCACUGCAUCUCUGAACUCGUGGAUCGGCAUGAAGAGGAGAACACCCUGCUCCGCCAAGCGUUUUCAGCACUCAAACAGAAGUCGCAGGAUGCGGAGAAAGACUGCAAAGAACGAGUCCAGAAGAUCCAGCGCGAUCUCCAGUACCAGUUUGAUGCCUUACAGAGGGAAAAGGAGGAUGAGCAGAGGGCUUUCCAGGAGAAAGAGCAAGAGCUUAAGACUGUUAUCGGAGACCUGCAGGCAGAAAACUCACUACUAUUGGGAAGACUGGAGCGGGAGAGGGUGGAGGCCCUGCAGAGAGUGGAGAAGGAGAAAGAGGAGGCAGUCAAAGCUGCAUUACAAGAGGCCUUAAGAGACUUUCAACUCCAAAAAGAGGAGACCGAGACAAGACUGUUAGGACAAAUUGAGCUACUUGAAAAUCAGCUCAAAGACAGACAAUCCACUGACACAGUGGGACCUACUGUAGAAAAAACAGAGACUGGUAUGGAAACCAGUGCUGCAUUGUCACUGGACAGUGGCCAGUGGACCGAGGAAAGGGCAUCACUCCUGGCCAAACUAGAGCUCCUGGAACGCACAAAGAACGAGGAGAUGCAGAACCUGAAGACCUCGCUCAUUGCUGAGCAGCAGACAAACUUCAAUACUGUUCUGAUCCGGGAGAAACUAAAGAAAGAACAAAUCAUCAGUGAUCUCACCGAGAAGCUCAAAAACUUGGCACAGCAACAAGAGAAAGAUAAAGGCUUGAUCGAAACGCUCUCUGAGGACCGUGCCUCCAUCCUUCAGGAGAAGAAGCAGAUGGAGGAGGAACUCAACCAUCUGCGAAGCACCGUCCUCGUCUCUUCGUCCUUCUUUCCGCCCAAUCCCAUCCCAGUCGUCACGGAAGCUCACGGCGCCUGUGGCCCCGCCCAUGUGGAAGUCCUCUUGCUGUCCACCCCUGAUCCAGAGAGAUUGGCGUACGUGGCUGCGUUCAAGGAUGAGGAGAGGGUGGAGUCAGCCGUGGAGGCCAGCAUGAUGACAGUGCAUGACAACCCUAUGCUGUCUGAAGAGAAACAGCGCAUACUGAUUUUGGAAAGGACUUUACAUAUGAAGGAGGAAGAGAACAAAAGACUUAGUCAAAGAUUGAUGUCACAGAGUAUGUCGUCCGUCUCGUCACGGCACUCUGAGAAAAUCGCCAUUCGAGAUUUUCAGGUGGGCGACUUGGUUCUCAUAAUCCUGGACGAGAGGCACGAUAAUUACGUUCUCUUCACUGUUGGUCCCACCCUUUAUUUCCUGCACUCAGAGUCCCUCACUGCACUGGACCUCAAACCAGCGACAGGAGAAACAAGACGGCCGUGGGUUCUAGGAAAAGUCAUGGAGAAGGAAUAUUGCCAAGCCAAAAAGGCCCAAAACCGGUUCAAAGUUCCUCUCGGCACUAAAUUCUACAGAGUAAAGGCCGUGCCAUGGAACAAGAAAGUGUAAUCGUGUACAAAUUGAUCAUAUUGUAAUGAGCUCAGUAUGUUUUUAUUGCUUUUUUUAAGCAAACUCGCUCAUCCUUGGUGGUUUUAUCGACAUCAGAAGACAAAAUAAUUUUUCCCUUAUUUUUUUUGCCUCUGUUGCAAACCAUUUUAGCAAAUUUUUUUUAUACACAGAGGAUUUGUAAAUGUGGACCAAAUGAUUCUAACUUUAUCGGGGCAUUGCCUCCACGUGCGAUGGCUCUGAAGCCGUCACAACAAGUCUGUAAAAAUGGACAAAAUGUAUUUGGAUGUUACAUAUUAGUUCAUCAUUAAUAUUAUGGUCAGGUUGGGGGGCGGGCACUAUUGCGAUCAGCUUACUUAUUUCAGAAGGUUAUGAAAAUAUAAAUUUAUUGUAAAUGUUACCAGAGGAAUGGUCAUGGCAUGCAUAUAGAUAAUAUUUUCUUUAAUUUACUUGUCUGGAUAUGCAUUGUAGUCGGAGGUAUCAGUAAAAACCUGCUGAUUGUUACUCGCAUCACAGUACAACCCGUCUGUUUAUUAUGACGUACAUUUGGACGGCCACCGCAGAGGCCUCGCAAUCCUUCAGAAGCACUUUCGAAAAAAAAAGACGACGCUUUUGUCGAUUCAAAAGGGAGGUUUGUGCUGU